CACCCAGUGGGUUUAAUGGCUGAGUGGAGAAUCAAACCCUGAUCUCUAGAGCUACAGUCCAGCACUCAGACCACUACAUCACACUGACUGUCACAUCCGCUACCAAACUAAUAGCACAUUUGAAAUGGAAGAAGUUUAAUUUUAAAAUCACAUUUGAACUACAUACAACUGAAUUGAAAUUUAUUUAGAAAAAAAUGGCAAACUAUUGUAAAUUGGAAAAUGAUCUCCUUUGGAUUAAAUAAACAAUGAGAAUAUUCUGUAUGCAACACAACCAUCUACUACCACUUCCCAAGGUACAUUGGGAGUUGGCUUGAGUAAUGAUUUAGAAAGAACCUCCUGACAGUAAGAGCUGCUGAACAGUGGAAUAGGCUUCCUUGAAGUAUGGUGGAGUCUCCUUCUUUGGAGUUGUUUAAACAGAGGCUGGGUGGCCAUCUGUUUGGGUGUGUGUGUGUGCUUUGAUUGUGAGUUCCUGCAUGGCAGAAGUGGGUUGGACUGCAUGGCCCUUGAGAUCUCAUCCAGCUUUAUGAAUCUGUGAUUUUAUGAUUUGUGACUUGUCAUUAAGGACACAAACCACUUUUGUUGCUGGGGGUGAGGGAGAAGGCAGGGCUUUGAUUCACAUAGUCAGUUUUCAAGUUCUUUGGCCAAAUUCUUCUCUCCCGUCCAAUGAAAGAACAGUCUUUCUUGCUCUCUGUUUCAAUCACCUGAAUCCUUUAUUGCUUGUGACUCUAGAAAGCCUGUUUCAAUCAACUGAAUUUUUUAUUGCUUGUGACUCUAGAAAGCCUCAUGCCCAAAAGGAAGAGUGUCCCCUCGCUGGAGAAACUGUGCCUGGAGAAUGUGGUUAAGAAUAUGGAAAGGCUCUGGCUUAAGCAUUGCGCUAUGGAUGGCAGCCUGGACAGGGACCACAGUCAUGACAUGAAAGGGCCCUUCAGCAUACUGGCUGGCUCCCUUCUCCAUGAAUUACUCAAUAUCAUGAGAAAGAGGAAACUCAUGAGUCCGGCCCUACUGCACCUUUUCUUUUUGCCACAGCUGAAGGAACUGAACUUGAGACCCUGGUCACAGCAAAUUGGAGGGACAAUUGCCCACAUCAUCUCAGUACGCUGCAAGAAGCAAGAUGCCCAAAAGAAAUAGAGAGCGCUUGCUGGAGGAGAGGAGCUUGGAGAUUGUGGCUGAGAAUAUGAAGCAUGUUUGGGCCAGAGAUUACAGGGACAACCGCCUGGCUGGCUUCCAUGUCGAGAAGUUGAUCUUUUCCCUGUGGAGGACCAAGCGCCUUACUCCUCCCUUGCUUCACUCGCUCAUCUUGCCCCAAAUGACAGUGCUCAACCUUUCCUUUUGCUCAGACUUGGUCAAGAGGGAUGCUGCCCGAAUCAUCGCUAUGCGUUGCAAGAAUCUCUCUUCGCUGAAUCUCCAUGGAUGCAAGUGGAUACCAGUAACUGCUCUCACAGACCCAGUGCAACAAAAGAGUGUUAUCAGCUCUGGCCUCCUCCUGCCAGCGGCUUCAAGAACUCAACAUCUCCUGGUGUAACAAACUGUCUCUGGUUUCUCUUCCCCAUCUUGCCUAUAACUGCACUCAAGGCUCUUUCUGUUGCCAGGCAUUGGAAAAGCUUGCCAUUUUUGGACUGGGUGGCAGGGGAGACCAGUUUUCAGCCCUGGCCUUCAUGCUGCUGGCAUUAUCCAAUCUGAAGCACUUGGGUCAUGAAUUUGCUUCCGAGGCCGUAGUAAUAAUCCACAAGCGGCAAUUUGAGAAGGUUCAGUUGCCCCAUGGGUUUCCCAGCCUCGCUGAGGUGGCACAGCUGAUGAUCUCCACCCAGAUGAAUGAGGGGAGAUCCACAUUUUCUCUGCCCCUGUUGGAAAUAGAUAAAGUUGGCCAGUCGUUCUUGCCUAUAUUGAGUGCCAUGUGCCCAUUUUUGGCGAAUGUGAAUGUGGAGCUUAGAAACAAUUCUCCCUUGGUCCCAAAUUUCUUCAAUUGCCGCCAUCUUACUCACUUGAGCCUUAGUUGUGGGAAAGACAGCCCCAGGGACCUGAGGGACCUUUUGCCAGUGACAGCAUUCCUUGGGGCCCAACUUCAAUCCCUCAUAAUCCAUGACUUCUCCUUUGUGAAAGAAUUCUCUUUCCAUGCUCUGCUGCGCCAUUGCCCAAAACUCCAGGAGUUCGAAGUUUCAUUCUUUCCACCGAGGCCUAGACAUGACAGACAGCUAGAUGCUUAGACCACAGACUGGGAUUUCAGCCUUCCCCUUGAAUUUCCUCAGCUUUCUAAAUUCUAUGUGGAGUGUUCCACAAAGUGGACUCCCCUGCCUCACUACCAUGCCAUGGUGUUAAGACAGUGUGUUGUAGACCUCAUGAAACAAUCACCUUGUCUAAAAUCCUUGAAUUUGACCCGUCUGCCUUUCUCCCUGGAUCAAGUAUUUAAGGAGGUGGUGAAAGCCCCUGGAGCUGCCUUGCAACAACUCUGUGACCUUAGUCUAGUUCAAGUGAAGAUAUCCAUGUGCACAAUCCACCUGCUGUUGUCCUUGGAGAAUCCACUGGAACUACUGAUCCUGAAUAGCUGCCCAGGCAUAGAUAAGGAGGAGUAUGAAGAGCUCCUCACUAGAAUCGUCAGGGAAGGCCUUGACCUAAAUAUUGAUUGGCAAUGAAGAGCCCUCUAGAGAUUUUGCUGGGCAGAUUGGAGGUUUCCCUAUUUCCCUUCCUGAACUGUCAUUUUUGUUCCAACAGAAAAAUGAAGUUCCACAGGGAAAAAUCCCUUUAUCAGUGAGAGAAAUGCUUUUUAAGAUGGGUUUACUCCAGGAGGUGGGCACCUGAAGUUUUGGGGGAUUUAGCUUCCAUAAUCCAUAAUUCUGAGUUAGAUCUCAGAAACAUCAGGUGGGUUGUGGUUGCCAGAAAAUUUGUAGUAAAGGCAAUCCCCAGAAUUAAAGAAUUUGAAGUCUCCCCCUCGUUUUGCAUUCUAUGUAACCUAGAAGUACUAUUUAGCAUAUAUAUUGAAUCACUUUUAAAGCUUCAGUUUUGUACUAGUGUACCCUGUUCCAAAGACAGAGCUGCAAAUUUGGGGUGGUGGCCUUCUAGGAUAUAAGGUUUGAACUGAGAACUGAUAAUAGUGAACUCUCCAGCUAUGGUUUUGUGUGUGUGUGUGUGUGAGUUAUUCAGGUUAUGAGGCCAUAUUGUAGAGUUUAUUCUUAGGAAUAAACUCUUCUAUAACAUGGCCUCAUAGCCUGAAAAACCCCACAAAAACCUAUGGAUGCUAGUCGUGAAAGCCUUCAUCUCCAGCUGUGCUUUGUCAUAAAUAGCAUAUGACCAGUAGAUGAAGAUGGUUUCAUUUGAAAAUAAGAAUUUAAUAUCUUUCCACAUUAAAACUGAUUUUACUCAAAACCUUUUAAAAUUAAUUUACUUUAAAUCUUAUAAUUGCACUAAUGUCUCAUAAUAAGAAUGGCAUUUAUUUCAGGGUUUCCUCAUAUUUCCAUCCCCUCCUCCAUGACUUUAACAUUUCUGGAAACGUAAUAUCUCUGGCUUCAGUGUGGCCCAGGCAGCUUUCACCUUGUGCUGGGCCCAAGAGAAAAUGUGUAUUCAUAAACAGUGGUUUGGAUCGUGGGCAUUUUCAACUUUGAUUUAAAUAUAGAUAAAACUGCAGGAAAACUGGGGAGAUCAACAGGUUCCUGACAAUGCAGGUCAAGUGCAUGUGUUGGGCCAGAAUUCAAAGACCUAGCAUUGUUAGUCUGAAAAAUCAGUUUUCAA